UGUGGUCAGCUGUCCUGUAUACUCCCCAGGGAGGAAGCUGUCUUCUCUGACUGAGAUCUCAGUUGGGCAGUACUGACUGGACACUGGCCUGACAGCUUGAACUUGUAUGUACUUCCCAGGAAAGAGGUCUUCUCAGGAGAAGAACCAGAGCAUGGGAGCUCCUUGGACCCUUGGGAUCACUAAGACCUGCUGGCCCAUGGAUAGGACCUCUCUUGCUGGCUAUUCAUGGCUUCAGGCUCUCCAAAGCUGCUUCAUCAUCGUGGGCUGUUCACCAUCAUCUAUAACCUGCACCUACUAGAUGCCAGUAGCUGUCGCCUAUCCUGCACUUCUAUUAAGCAGCAACAUGACCAAGGAUCCUAGGAGACAAAAUGACUCUUGAUGAAGGAGCACAGUUGUAGUGUCCCAACAAAUCCUUAAAGCUCUGCCAGUGGGAUGGAGUCAAACCUGGCUAACAGAAGAAAGCAAGGCAGCCCGCUUCCAGGCAAAACAACUACCUCAGGCUCUACGUGACAUUCAACCAGAGCAUAAAGCAAGACAAAAACUGAAAAGAAAAUCUGCAAAAAGGCAAACAGGCAAGUAAUGACGAGAAUUCCACAGAAGCAGAGCAGGAGAGGGCAUUGUGACAAUGUGGAUAUGAACAGACACGUUUUAUGCCUCUUGUGUUUAAAUGGUGGAUGCUGUGUGAGGUUGGGUGGUAAAUUUUAG
rnacentral:sRNA from 1 species